CAGAACUGUGCUGGCCAGGUGCUUGCUGGGCAUUUCAGAGAAGCCAGAGAGUGGGAGAAACACCAGUGACUGGACCUGAGCUGUAGGGAAUGGAAAAGGCCUUUGAAGGUGGAAUGGAGAAGAAAGGGCCUCCUAGGCAGGGGCUGGGCCCAGAGGAGGGAUCCACAGUGAGUGCCCUGGAGCAGGCCACUGGCUUGACCUAGAGAGGAGUCACUGUUUCUUAGCAAGGCAACUACGUGGACUUCAAGGUUGGCUUUGCCUGGUAAAGCUCUGAUGAUGAGGAUAAUGACAAGUGCUGCUAAAGACAUACCUGAGACUGGAAAAUUUACAAACGAAAGAGGUUUAAUGGACUUACAGUUCCACGUGGCUGGGGAGGCCUCAAAAUCAUGGCAGAAGGUGAAAGGCAUGUCUCACAUGGCAGCAGACAAGAGAAGAGAGUUUAUAGAGGGAAUCUCCCUCUUAUAAAACUGUGAGAUAUUGUGAGUCUUAUUCACUAUCAUGAGAAUAGCAUGGGAAAGGCCUGCCCCCAUGAUUCAGUUGCCUCCCACUGGGCCCCUCCCAAGACACAAGGGAAUUCAAGAUGAGAUUUGUGUUGGGACACAGCCAAACCGUAUCAGCCGAGUAAUCAAUAGGACACUGAGGAAGUGAUACAGUGUGCCUUUUGAAGCUAGGUUAUGAAUGACAUUGUGGCUUCCACUGUGCUCUCCCUUUGCUGACUCAUGCUGGGGGAAGAUGGCAGUCAUGACAGGAAGACACUCAAGCAGCCCAAUGGAGAGGGCCAUGCAGUGAGGACCUGAGGCCUCCUGCCAAAAACUAUGGGAGUGAGCCAUCUUGGAAAUAACACGGUUAACAAAGAAUAUAUUCCUUUUAGGCUUCCCACAAGAAAUGUCCACUAGCUUUUCAAGGGAAGAGAUACUAUCAGAUGUGACAAAAAAUAUGAUUUAAGGCACUAUAUGCAAAACCCUGCCUUAUUACUUUAUGCCUACACAUUUUGUUUUCCAGGGAAAUAAUCUGAGUCUGUUAUGAUUGCAUUUUUAUUACAGGUAAAAUUUUAUGACAUAGGGUAACCCACAUAAAAUGGAUCUAUAAUACUUUUUCUAAGUGGGCCAACUUACAGUACAGGCCACUUGGAAUUGCUGGAUUAUGUCCAAAUGGCAUAAUCAUUUUUCUGAAAGAUAACUACAUUGUCAUCUGAAUGCCUCUGAUUGAAAAAAAAAAUAAAAGGAGAUGUGGCCACAUAGCCCUGCUGGAGUUUACUGACAUUUACUUCCUUGUGAAACUCAAACUGCAUGUGGCAUUUGCAGGGUGAGCUGAGUUUUCUCUAUUAGUUUCAUCCAGACCCAGACCCUCCUUUGCCCUGUACUUCCCCAGCUAAAUCACAUCCCUUGAUACACUCUAAGUCAUGAAUUAGUAAAGAACCAACCAACUGCCCUAUCUGGAGAAGCGUGUUUAAUCUUUCAUGGCCAGCUCCAGGAAGGAUGCCCUUUGAAUGACUGUCUUGCUUUUUUUUCCCCAUGCCCCUCAAGAGCUGACCAAGACAAAUGCUAUCUUGAUUUUGUCAG
rnacentral:lncRNA from 10 species